GAUGAACGCUGGCGGCGUGCUUAACACAUGCAAGUCGAACGGAAAGGCCCAAGCUUGCUUGGGUACUCGAGUGGCGAACGGGUGAGUAACACGUGGGUGAUCUGCCCUGCACUUCGGGAUAAGCCUGGGAAACUGGGUCUAAUACCGGAUAGGACGAUGGUUUGGAUGCCAUUGUGGAAAGUUUUUUCGGUGUGGGAUGAGCUCUCGGCCUAUCAGCUUGUUGGUGGGGUAAUGGCCUACCAAGGCGUCGACGGGUAGCCGGCCUGAGAGGGUGUACGGCCACAUUGGGACUGAGAUACGGCCCAGACUCCUACGGGAGGCAGCAGUGGGGAAUAUUGCACAAUGGGCGCAAGCCUGAUGCAGCGACGCCGCGUGGGGGAUGACGGCCUUCGGGUUGUAAACUCCUGUCGCUAGGGACGAAGCGUUUUUGUGACGGUACCUGGAGAAGAAGCACCGGCUAACUACGUG
rnacentral:rRNA from 1 species